rnacentral:rRNA from 1 species
ACCCAAAAAUUAGCCCAAGACACCUAGCUAUGCCACACCCACACGGGAAUUCAGCAGUGAUUAACAUUGAAAAUAAGCGACAGCUUGAAUCAGUUAANGUAAAAAGAGCCGGCAAAUCUGGUGCCAGCCGCCGCGGUUACACCACGUGACUCAAACUGACCUCUUCCGGCGUAAAGCGUGAUUAAAGCCCNUCUUACCACUGCAAUUAAACCAGAACUGAGCUGUGACACGCCUAUUCCUGAGAACCCCAAAACCGAAAGUCAUUGCAANCCCCUAAACUUGAACUCACGACAGCUAGAAAACAAACUGGGAUUAGAUACCCCACUAUGCCUAGCCGUAAANCCUUUAUUUACCUCCACACCGCCAGGGAACUACGAGCAAAGCUUAAAACCCAAAGGACUUGACGGUACCCCAUAUCCACCUAGAGGAGCCUGUCCUAUAAUCGAUAAUCCCCGCUUAACCUCACCAUUUUUAGCAUAUCAGCCUGUAUACCUCCGUCGUCAGCUUACCACGUGAGCGCCAAUUAGUGAGCUAAAUGCCCCUACGCCAACACGUCAGGUCAAGGUGCAGCAUAUAAAAUGGGAAGAGAUNGGCUACACUGUCUNAACUAGACUACACGGAAGACUAUAUAUGNAACCUAGUCGGAAGNCGGANUUAGAAGUAAAAAANGANCAAAGCGCUUUUUUNAACUU